ACGAACGCUGGCGGCGUGCCUAAUACAUGCCAGUAGAACGCUGAAGGAGGAGCUUGCUUCUCUGGAUGAGUUGCGAACGGGUGAGUAACGCGUAGGUAACCUGCCUGGUAGCGGGGGAUAACUAUUGGAAACGAUAGCUAAUACCGCAUAAUAGCAGUUGUUGCAUGACAACUGUUUGAAAGGUGCAAUUGCACCACUACCAGAUGGACCUGCGUUGUAUUAGCUAGUUGGUGGGGUAACGGCUCACCAAGGCGACGAUACAUAGCCGACCUGAGAGGGUGAUCGGCCACACUGGGACUGAGACACGGCCCAGACUCCUACGGGAGGCAGCAGUAGGGAAUCUUCGGCAAUGGACGGAAGUCUGACCGAGCAACGCCGCGUGAGUGAAGAAGGUUUUCGGAUCGUAAAGCUCUGUUGUAAGAGAAGAACGAGUGUGAGAGUGGAAAGUUCACACUGUGACGGUAUCUUACCAGAAAGGGACGGCUAACUACGUG
rnacentral:rRNA from 1 species